CGGCCGCAGUACUCUGACUGUGCAAAGGUAGCAUAAUCAAUUGGCUUUUAAUUGGAGUCUAGUAUGAAUGGAUUUACGUAAAAGUUCUGUCUCAACAAAAUUUUUUUUAAAUUUUUUAAAAGGUGAAAAAACCUUUAGUAUCUAAAAGACGAGAAGACCCUAAGAAUUUUAAAAAAAUUAAUCUAUCUUUUUUGCUGGGGCGGCAACGGAUCAUGAAACAUCCGUAUAAUCGAGUUUUCGUAUUAUAAAUUACCUUAGGGAUAACAGCACAAUUGUUACCUCGAUGUUGGACUAGGAACCUUAAGGUUAGAUACUCUAAAGGUGAGU
rnacentral:rRNA from 1 species